GUACCGGAGGCUUGAUUGAACCGCAGGUUCAAUCAUAAAAGGUGGCUUUUAGCUACCACUUGCAGAUGGACCCGCGGCGCAUUAGCUAGUUGGUGAGGUAACGGCUCACCAAGGCGACGAUGCGUAGCCGACCUGAGAGGGUGAUCGGCCACACUGGGACUGAGACACGGCCCAGACUCCUACGGGAGGCAGCAGUAGGGAAUCUUCCGCAAUGGACGAAAGUCUGACGGAGCAACGCCGCGUGAGUGAUGAAGGUUUUCGGAUCGUAAAACUCUGUUGUUAGGGAAGAACAAGUACCGUUCGAAUAGGGCGGCACCUUGACGGUACCUAAGGGGAAGGCCACGGCUAACUACGUGCCAGCAGCCGCGGUAAUACGUAGGUGGCAAGCGUUGUCCGGAAUUAUUGGGCGUAAAGCGCGCGCAGGCGGUUUCUUAAGUCUGAUGUGAAAGCCCCCGGCUCAACCGGGGAGGGUCAUUGGAAACUGGGGAACUUGAGUGCAGAAGAGGAGAGUGGAAUUCCACGUGUAGCGGGUGAAAUGCGUAGAGAUGUGGAGGAACACCAGUGGCGAAGGCGACUCUCUGGUCUGUAACUGACGCUGAGGCGCGAAAGCGUGGGGGAGCGAACAGGAUUAGAUACCCUGGUAGUCCACGCCGUAAACGAUGAGUGCUAAGUGUUAGAGGGUUUCCGCCCUUUAGUGCUGCAGCAAACGCAUUAAGCACUCCGCCUGGGGAGUACGGGUCGCGAAGACUGAAACUCAAAGGAAUUGACGGGGGCCCGCACAAGCGGUGGAGCAUGUGGUUUAAUUCGAAGCAACGCGAAGAACCUUACCAGGUCUUGACAUCCUCUGACAACCCUAGACACAGGGCUUCCCCUUCGGGGGCAGAGUGACAGGUGGUGCAUGGUUGUCGUCAGCUCGUGUCGUGAGAUGUUGGGUUAAGUCCCGCAACGAGCGCAACCCUUGAUCUUAGUUGCCAGCAUUCAGUUGGGCACUCUAAGGUGACUGCCGGUGACAAACCGGAGGAAGGUGGGGAUGACGUCAAAUCAUCAUGCCCCUUAUGACCUGGGCUACACACGUGCUACAAUGGGCAGAACAAAGGGCAGCGAAGCCGCGAGGCUAAGCCAAUCCCACAAAUCUGUUCUCAGUUCGGAUCGCAGUGUGCAACUCG
rnacentral:rRNA from 1 species